GAGCUGGUGGUGCAGUCGGUAGCACGUAUCUACGCUAGCAAUCGCUGCUGUGGAUGAAACCCAGGUUCGAGUCCUGGUCAGUUUG